rnacentral:rRNA from 1 species
UACUAGAGUAGCACUCGCAUAUCAAUAAGCGGAGGAAAAGAAGCUAACAAGGAUUCCCCUAGUAACGGCGAGUGAAGCGGGAAGAGCUCAAAUUUGAAAUCUUAAAGGGUUUUCCCUUUACGAAUUGUAGUUUAAAGAAGUGUUUUCUGUUGAGGUUUUGGUAAAAGUUCUUUGGAAUAGGACAUCAUAGAGGGUGAGAAUCCCGUAUUUGACCUUUACUUUCAACUUUGUGAUACACUUUCAAAGAGUCGGAUUGUUUGGGAAUGCAGUCCAAAAUGGGUGGUAAAUUUCAUCUAAAGCUAAAUAUUGGCGAGAGACCGAUAGCGAACAAGUACCGUGAGGAAAGAUGAAAAGAACUUUGAAAAGAGAGUUAAACAGUACGUGAAAUUGUCAAAAGGGAAGCGUUUGACACCAGUGUUGUUUUUCUGAAAAUCAAUUAAAGAACUGUUUAUGCUAAGUUGUUUAGACUUUAUCAGCUAACUGUUUAGUUUUGAGCUUUUCUUUAAUGCACUUUUCAGUUAACAAGUCAACAUCAAUUUCUUUUGCUGUAAAAAAAGCUUGAGGAAGGUGGCUUGAGAUUCGUCUUAAGUGUUUAUAGCCUCUUGCCUAUGCAGUCGGAGAGAUUGAGGUCUGCAGCGUAGAUCCUUCGGGGCUAAAUGCAUUUGUGCUAAGUUAUAGCAUUUUAUAGACAACUUGUUGACUAUGAUUUGUCUUGUAGCUUACUCGCUUAUGUUCUUUUACCUACGCUUAGGAUGUUGAUAUCGCGCUCUCACUG